rnacentral:rRNA from 1 species
AUUGAACGCUGGCGGCAUGCCUUACACAUGCAAGUCGAACGGCAGCACGGGAGCAAUCCUGGUGGCGAGUGGCGAACGGGUGAGUAAUACAUCGGAACGUACCUGGUAGUGGGGGAUAGCCCGGCGCAAGCCGGAUUAAUACAGCAUACGACCUGAGGGUGAAAGCGGGGGAUCGCAAGACCUCGCGCUAUUGGAGCGGCCGAUGGCAGUUUAGGUAGUUGGUGGGGGAAAGGCCUACCAAGCCUACGAUCUGUAGCGGGUUUGAGAGGACGACCAGCCACACUGGGACUGAGACACGGCCCAGACUCCUACGGGAGGCAGCAGUGGGGAAUUUUGGACAAUGGGCGCAAGCCUGAUCCAGCCAUGCCGCGUGCGGGAAGAAGGCCUUCGGGUUGUAAACCGCUUUUGUCAGGGAAGAAAUACUCUGGGCUAAUACCCUGGGGUGAUGACGGUACCUGAAGAAUAAGCACCGGCUAACUACGUGCCAGCAGCCGCGGUAAAAC